rnacentral:rRNA from 1 species
AUUGAACGCUGGCGGCAGGCUUAACACAUGCAAGUCGAGCGGAGAUGAGGUGCUUGCAUCUUAUCUUAGCGGCGGACGGGUGAGUAAUGCUUAGGAAUCUGCCUAUUAGUGGGGGACAACACUCCGAAAGGAAUGGUAAUACCGCAUACGUCCUACGGGAGAAAGCAGGGGAUCUUCGGACCUUGAGCUAAUAGAUGAGCCUAAGUCGGAUUAGCUAGUUGGUGGGGUAAAGGCCUACCAAGGCGACGAUCUGUCGCGGGUCUGAGAGGAUGAUCCGCCACACUGGGACUGAGACACGGCCCAGACUCCUACGGGAGGCAGCAGUGGGGAAUAUUGGACAAUGGGGGGAACCCUGAUCCAGCCAUGCCGCGUGUGUGAAGAAGGCCUUAUGGUUGUAAAGCACUUUAAGCGAGGAGGAGGCUACUGAGACUAAUACUCUUGGAUAGUGGACGUUACUCGCAGAAUAAGCACCGGCUAACUCUGUGCCAGCCGCCGCCGUAAAAC